CCUACGGGAGGCAGCAGUGAGGAAUAUUGGUCAAUGGGCGGAAGCCUGAACCAGCCAAGUAGCGUGCAGGAUGACGGCCCUACGGGUUGUAAACUGCUUUUAUACGGGAAUAACGCGCCUUUCGUGUAGGGCUUUGCAUGUAUCGUAUGAAUAAGGACCGGCUAAUUCCGUGCCAGAAGCCGCGGUAAUACGGAAGGUCCGGGCGUUAUCCGGAUUUAUUGGGUUUAAAGGGAGCGUAGGCCGCAUGUCAAGCGUGCGGUGAAAUGUCCCGGCUCAACCCGGGCCUUGCAGCGCGAACUGGCGUGCUUGAGUGCACGGAGGGCAGGCGGAAUUCGUCGUGUAGCGGUGAAAUGCUUAGAUAUGACGAAGAACCCCGAUUGCGAAGGCAGGUGGCUGCAGUGGAACUGACGCUGAGGCUCGAAAGCGCGGGUAUCGAACAGGAUUAGAUACCCUAGUAGUC
rnacentral:rRNA from 1 species